CCAUUUAUCAUUUUCAUCAGCCCGUGAAGUCAUGCUAGCAGGAGGCGAAAUAUAAAUUAUUUUGAUAAUGAAACAUAUAUAAUUUUUAAAUAAAAUUUCUUAGAUGAUUUAUAAAUGUGGGUAGUGAUUUAAUUUUAAAGUAUACCUAUCCCAAUUAUCAGAAAUAUCUCCUGUGGUUCUCCAGCUAUUGCCAACUUCAUUUGCCCAAGUUGCAGGAUCAUCUCGGCCCC